AUUGAACGCUGGCGGCAUGCUUUACACAUGCAAGUCGAACGGUAACAGGCCGCAAGGUGCUGACGAGUGGCGAACGGGUGAGUAAUGCAUCGGAACGUGCCCAGUCGUGGGGGAUAACGCAGCGAAAGCUGCGCUAAUACCGCAUACGAUCUAUGGAUGAAAGCGGGGGACCGUAAGGCCUCGCGCGAUUGGAGCGGCCGAUGUCAGAUUAGGUAGGUGGUGGGGUAAAGGCUCACCAAGCCAGCGAUCUGCAGCUGGUCUGAGAGGACGACCAGCCACUCUGGGACUGAGACACGGCCCAGACUCCUACGGGAGGCAGCAGUGGGAAAUUUUGGACAAUGGGCGCAAGCCUGAUCCAGCAAUGCCGCGUGCAGGAAGAAGGCCUUCGGGUUGUAAACUGCUUUUGUACGGAACGAAACGGUUCGGGUUAAUACCCUGGGCUAAUGACGGUACCGUAAGAAUAAGCACCGGCUAACUACGUGCCAGCCGCCGCGGUAAAAC
rnacentral:rRNA from 1 species